UACGUAGGUGGCAAGCGUUGUCCGGAUUUACUGGGCGUAAAGAGCGCGCAGGCGGUCGUUCAAGUCGCGUGUGAAAGCCCCCGGCUCAACUGGGGAGGGUCACGCGAUACUGAUCGACUCGAAGGCAGGAGAGGGUAGUGGAAUUCCCGGUGUAGUGGUGAAAUUCGUAGAUAUUAGGAAGAACACCGGUGGCGAAGGCGGCCCACUGGUCCGGUACUGACGCUGAGGUGCGAAAGCGUGGGGAGCAAACAGG
rnacentral:rRNA from 1 species